rnacentral:rRNA from 1 species
GACGAACGCUGGCGGCGUGCCUAAUACAUGCAAGUAGAACGCUGAAGCGAGGAGCUUGCUCUUCUUGGAUGAGUUGCGAACGGGUGAGUAACGCGUAGGUAACCUGCCUUGUAGCGGGGGAUAACUAUUGGAAACGAUAGCUAAUACCGCACAACAAUGGAUGACACAUGUCAUUUAUUUGAAAGGGGCAAUUGCUCCACUACAAGAUGGACCUGCGUUGUAUUAGCUAGUAGGUGAGGUAAUGGCUCACCUAGGCGACGAUACAUAGCCGACCUGAGAGGGUGAUCGGCCACACUGGGACUGAGACACGGCCCAGACUCCUACGGGAGGCAGCAGUAGGGAAUCUUCGGCAAUGGGGGCAACCCUGACCGAGCAACGCCGCGUGAGUGAAGAAGGUUUUCGGAUCGUAAAGCUCUGUUGUAAGUCAAGAACGGGUGUGAGAGUGGAAAGUUCACACUGUGACGGUAGCUUACCAGAAAGGGACGGCUAACUACGUG